GGAGCCGGAGCGGCCUCUCCAGCCACGCUGGGCUGGCGAGGAUCCAGGCAGCCUCUCAGGAGAACGCUCAGAAAAUAUUAGCUGUGCAGGGGGAUAUCUGGGAUGAUUUCUGUGCUCUCCUGUGUUCGAUUAAACCAAUAGUGAGUAGAUGAACAGGAUGACCUAAGUGGAGCUCAGAGCUCAUGAAGAACAAUAGCAGUGAUGCAGAAGCCACAGGUGGCAGUUGGUUUCCUCGCACACAAAUCUCUACAUUAAUCUAAUGUUGUGCAAUAUUUUAAUAGCUGUACUGCAAACCUCAUAUGCAAUUGAACUCCCCUGUCAACAACUAGUCCAUGUGACAAUGAGGGGAGUUGUCAAAAGCAAUCCAGCACAUCACUGCUUUCUUGCACUCUUUGACAGAUGGCUUGCCGACUACAGACAACAAUGCAAACAACCAGUGUAUCUUGGAUGCUGAAAUAAAAGACAAGAAAAGUCA